rnacentral:tRNA from 1 species
CAGAUAGCUCAGUUGGUAGCUAGAGCACCUGACUAGAAAUUCAGGGGGGUCCAGGUUCGAAUCCCAGUCUG